CAGCCGCCGCGGGAAUACGUAGGUCGCAAGCGUUGUCCGGAAUUAUUGGGCGUAAAGGGCUCGCAGGCGGUUUCUUAAGUCUGAUGUGAAAGCCCCCGGCUCAACCGGGGAGGGUCAUUGGAAACUGGGAAACUUGAGUGCAGAAGAGGAGAGUGGAAUUCCACGUGUAGCGGUGAAAUGCGUAGAGAUGUGGAGGAACACCAGUGGCGAAGGCGACUCUCUGGUCUGUAACUGACGCUGAGGAGCGAAAGCGUGGGGAGCGAACAGGAUUAGAUACCCGUGUAGUCCCUGUCUCUUAUAC
rnacentral:rRNA from 1 species